ensembl:snRNA U4 U4 spliceosomal RNA
AGCUUUGCACAGUGGCAGUAUCGUAGCCAAUGAGGUUUAUCCGAGGCAUGAUUAUUGCUAAUUAAAAUAUGAACACUAUAAUUGUGUUUCUCUCUGGGGUUGUGAGGAUGAAAUGAUAUAGUGCACGUAAUGUACCUACCACAAUGCCUGGACCAUAGUAAGUGUUCAGUGUAUGACAGCCUUUAUAAUGG